UAGCGUAGGGGGCAAGCGUUUGUCCGGAUUUAUUGGGCGUAAAGCGCUCGCCAGGUGGUCCGAUGCGUCGUGCCGUGAAAGACCCCGGCUCAACUGGGGAGGGUCGUGCGAUACGGUCGGGACUGGAGGCCAGUAGGGGGAUGCGGAAUUCCGGGUGUAGUGGUGGAAUGCGUAGAGAUCCGGAGGAACACCAGCGGCGAAGGCGGCAUCCUGGACUGGUCCUGACACUCAGGAGCGAAAGCGUGGGGAGCGAUCCGG
rnacentral:rRNA from 1 species